rnacentral:misc_RNA from 1 species
GAUGAAGAACGCAGCGAAAUGCGAUAAGUAAUGUGAAUUGCAGAAUUCAGUGAAUCAUCGAAUCUUUGAACGCACAUUGCGCCCCUUGGUAUUCCGAGGGGCAUGCCUGUUCGAGCGUCAUUAUAACCCCUCAAGCUCAGCUUGGUGUUGGGGCCUGCUGCACCGGCAGCCCUUAAAAUCAGUGGCGGCGCCAUCUGGCUCUAAGCGUAGUAAUUCUUCUCGCUAUGGAGUCCUGGUGGAUGCUUGCCAUCAACCCCCAAUUUUUCUAUGGUUGACCUCGGAUCAGGUAGGGAUACCCGCUGAACUUAAGCAUAUCAAUAAGCGGAGGA